UACGUAGGGUGCAAGCGUUGUCCGGAAUUAUUGGGCGUAAAGAGCUCGUAGGCGGUUUGUCGCGUCUGCUGUGAAAACUCGGGGCUUAACCCCGGGCCUGCAGUGGGUACGGGCAGACUAGAGUGCGGUAGGGGAGACUGGAAUUCCUGGUGUAGCGGUGAAAUGCGCAGAUAUCAGGAGGAACACCAAUGGCGAAGGCAGCUCACUGGGACGGUACUGACGCUGAGACGCGAAAGCGUGGGGAGCAAACAGG
rnacentral:rRNA from 1 species